rnacentral:rRNA from 1 species
GAUUCCCUUAGUAACUGCGAGUGAAGAGGGAAAAGCUCAAAUUUAAAAUCUGGCAGCAUUUUGUUGUCCGAGUUGUAACCUAGAGAAAGUGUAACCUGUGCUGGACCGUGUAUAAGUUUCCUGGAAUGGAGCAUCACAGAGGGUGAGAAUCCCGUCUUUGACAUGGACUACCAGUGCAUUGUGGUUGUGCUCUCAACGAGUCGAGUUGUUUGGGAAUGCAGCUCUAAAUGGGUGGUAAAUUCCAUCUAAAGCUAAAUAUUGGCGAGAGACCGAUAGCGAACAAGUACCGUGAGGGAAAGAUGAAAAGAACUUUGGAAAGAGAGUUAAACAGUAUGUGAAAUUGUUGAAAGGGAAACGUUUGAAGUCAGUCGCGUUAGCUGGGGAUCAGCCUGACAUUGUUGGGUGCACUUCCUGGUUGACGGGCCAACAUCAGUUUUGACUGCCAGAAAAAGGCCGAGGGAAUGUGGCACCUUUGGGUGUGUUAUAGCCUUUGGUCAUAUAUGGUGGUUGGGACUGAGGAAUGCAGUGUGCCGAAAGGCCGGGUUUCGACCACGUUCACACUGAGGAUGUUGGCAUAAUGGCUUUAAGCGACCCGUCUUGAAACACGGACCAAGGAGUCUAACAUGCAUGCGAGUGUUUGGGUGGAAAACCCUUACGCGUAAUGAAAGUGAAAGUUGAGAUCCCUGUCAUGGGGAGCAUCGACGCCCGGACCAGAACUUUUGGGACGGAUCUGCGGUAGAGCACGUAUGUUGGGACCCGAAAGAUGGUGAACUAUGCCUGAAUAGGGUGAAGCCAGAGGAAACUCUGGUGGAGGCUCGUAGCGAUUCUGACGUGCAAAUCGAUCGUCAAAUUUGGGUAUAGGGGCGA